rnacentral:rRNA from 1 species
UACGAAGGGGGCUAGCGUUGUUCGGAAUCACUGGGCGUAAAGCGCGUGUAGGCGGCUCGGUAAGUCUGCUGUGAAAGUCCAGGGCUCAACCCUGGGAUGCCGGUGGAUACUGGCGAUCUCGAGUCCGGGAGAAGGUGAGUGGAACUGCGAGUGUAGAGGUGAAAUUCGUAGAUAUUCGCAAGAACACCAGUGGCGAAGGCGGCUCACUGGCCCGGUACUGACGCUGAGGUCGCGAAAGCGUGGGGGAGCAAACAGG